UCCGAGUUGACCCCGGCAGUCUCCCAUGAGUCCCCGGCAUCACCCGCUGGCAACAUGGAACAAGGGUUGCGCUCGUUGCGGGACUUAACCCAACAUCUCACGACACGAGCUGACGACAGCCAUGCACCACCUGUGCAGGCUCCGAAGAGCGCCCGCUUUCACGGGUUCUACCCUGCAUGUCAAGCCCAGGUAAGGUUCUUCGCGUCGCAUCGAAUUAAGCCGCAUGCUCCGCCGCUUGUGCGGGGCCCCGUCAAUUCCUUUGAGUUUUAGCCUUGCGGUCGUACUCCCCAGGCGGGGUACUUCCUGCGUUAGCGCCGGCACCCAGGGACUAUAUAACCCCAGACACCAAGCAUUCAUCGUUUAAGGCUAGGACUAC
rnacentral:misc_RNA from 1 species